UAUAUACUCCCUCCGUCCAAAAAUACUUGUCAGGAAAAUUAAUAAAAAUGGAUGUAUCUAGAACUAAAAUACGUUUAGAUACCUCCAUUUCUUAGACGAGCAUUUCUGGACGGAGGGAGUACAUA
rfam:Triticum aestivum genome assembly, contig: Triticum_aestivum_CS42_TGACv1_scaffold_112777_2AS